rnacentral:lncRNA from 1 species
ACUUGGGCUGCUUUCUGCUUCCAUGGCGUCUUCAGCACUCAGCAGAAAGCUUGUAUACCAUUGGUACUCAAUAAAUAUCAGAUAAAUGGACACUUGCUUGAUUAAUCAAUUAAUGAAAAAUGAACAGAGUACUUCCUCCCUGUCAGGUUUCUGAGGAGUGGGUCCCAGAAGCAGAAGCUGCCAGGUGGACCACAGAAGACCUAGGAUGUCCAGGAAAAGGACUGUUUGUAUCUUUCCUCAUCCUUCUGUGCAUGUCUAGAUCCCCAAAACUCAGGAACAGGGACCCCAGAGAUCGUGACCCCCCAAAAUGUCUUUCAACAAAAGACUAUCUCCCUGGUUGUUUCCUUUCAAAGAAUCAGCCUCCUGGGGCUAAGAGAAAGGCACCGUAUGCUGGAAACACAGGCACCGAGCGGCGGAGGGGCGCCAGGGCCUCCUCUAAAGGGGCCUGUUGGAUUGCUGCCUUUGAACGAAUCUGAGUGUGUCUUUCGAUAGCGCAAGCACCAACCACCCCCAAGGACCUCUUUCCUUUAUUGCGGCAGCAAUGAAGCAGCCACAUGGCUGUUGCAGAUAAGAGGGCCCGAGUGCAUCGUGCAUGCAAAGUAGGCUUCGUGGUAAACAGCACGGAGAAGAACCGCAGACGCACCAUGUCCCGGCUUCUCUGCCUUGUGUUGUCCUUCCUCUAUGGCUCCUGCAGGACUGAAAUUAUACAGCCUUCCAACCUAGCUGCAGUGAUUGGGGCAGACGUGACGUUUCAAUGCGAAUAUAGUAUUCCUGAUGGGAAUUACGACACUGUGUACUGGUAUCUACAAAGAGCUGACCGAAGGCUCACCUAUAUCCACCGUACAUCUCAAGGCACCAUGGAAUCGGAGCAUUACCAGUUGUCUGUGAACAGAGAGCUGCCCUCCAGUACCUUAACCAUUAAGCAUGUGCAACCAAGAGACAAAGCCACUUACUACUGUGCUCUUCAGCACCAUGUUACAGAAUGCGUAUCACACCAAACAAAAACUAUAAGCCUCAAGCAAGUUCAACACUGAAAAUCCAAAGAGUCACCCAACAACACAGAAGGUGU